rnacentral:rRNA from 1 species
CGGGUGAGUAACGCGUGGGCAACCUGCCCCAUACCGGGGGAUAACAGCCGGAAACGGCUGCUAAAACCGCAUACGAUGCAGAAGUCGCAUGACUACUGCAUGAAAUAUUCAUAGGUAUGGGAUGGGCCCGCGUCUGAUUAGCUAGUUGGUGAGGUAACGGCUCACCAAGGCGACGAUCAGUAGCCGGCUUGAGAGAGUGACCGGCCACAUUGGGACUGAGACACGGCCCAAACUCCUACGGGAGGCAGCAGUGGGGAAUAUUGCACAAUGGGGGAAACCCUGAUGCAGCGACGCCGCGUGAGUGAAGAAGUAUUUCGGUAUGUAAAGCUCUAUCAGCAGGGAAGAAGAAAGACGGUACCUGACUAAGAAGCCCCGGCUAACUACGUGCCAGCAGCCGCGGUAAUACGUAGGGGGCAAGCGUUAUCCGGAUUUACUGGGUGUAAAGGGAGCGUAGGUGGUGUGGUAAGUCAGAUGUGAAAGCCCGAGGCUCAACCACGGGACUGCAUUUGAAACUAUCAUGCUAGAGUACAGGAGAGGUAAGUGGAAUUCCUAGUGUAGCGGUGAAAUGCGUAGAUAUUAGGAGGAACACCAGUGGCGAAGGCGGCUUACUGGACUGUAACUGACACUGAGGCUCGAAAGCGUGGGGAGCAAACAGGAUUAGAUACCCUGGUAGUCCACGCUGUAAACGAUGAAUACUAGGUGUCGGGGGUCAGAAGACCUUCGGUGCCGCAGCAAACGCAAUAAGUAUUCCACCUGGGGAGUACGUUCGCAAGAAUGAAACUCAAAUGAAUUGACGG